rnacentral:rRNA from 1 species
CCGACGGUGAGGGACGAAAGCUGGGGCACGAACCGGAUUAGAUACCCGGGUAGUCCCAGCCGUAAACGAUGCUCGCUAGGUGUCUGGGAUGGUGCGACCGUUUCAGGUGCCGCAGGGAAGCCGUGAAGCGAGCCACCUGGGAAGUACGGCCGCAAGGCUGAAACUUAAAGGAAUUGGCGGGGGAGCACUACAACGGGUGGAGCCUGCGGUUUAAUUGGACUCAACGCCGGAAAACUCACCUGGGGCG